rnacentral:Y_RNA from 1 species
GGCUGAUCUGAGUGCAGUUAGGUGUUAGUUUACACUGAUCACAAACAGUUAAAGAUUCCUUUGUUCUUUCUUCACUCCUACUGCUUCAGUUGGCUAGCCUUAA